GGUUUUUCCAUGAAACGGAAGUCCGGUGAAAAUCCGGCGCAGACGCGCUACUGUAACCGAUAAAUACCGGUCUGAACCACUGUAAAAACGGGAAGAUUCAGACAUAAAACGGGUCGGAAGCCAGGAGACGCCAU
rnacentral:ncRNA from 1 species